GAUGAACGUUGGCGGCGUGCCUAAUACAUGCAAGUCGAGCGAACAGACGAGGAGCUUGCUCCUCUGACGUUAGCGGCGGACGGGUGAGUAACACGUGGAUAACCUACCUAUAAGACUGGGAUAACUUCGGGAAACCGGAGCUAAUACCGGAUAAUAUAUUGAACCGCAUGGUUCAAUAGUGAAAGACGGUUUUGCUGUCACUUAUAGAUGGAUCCGCGCCGCAUUAGCUAGUUGGUAAGGUAACGGCUUACCAAGGCAACGAUGCGUAGCCGACCUGAGAGGGUGAUCGGCCACACUGGAACUGAGACACGGUCCAGACUCCUACGGGAGGCAGCAGUAGGGAAUCUUCCGCAAUGGGCGAAAGCCUGACGGAGCAACGCCGCGUGAGUGAUGAAGGUCUUCGGAUCGUAAAACUCUGUUAUUAGGGAAGAACAAAUGUGUAAGUAACUAUGCACGUCUUGACGGCACCUAAUCAGAAAGCCACGGCUAACUACGUG
rnacentral:rRNA from 1 species